CACGUAGGGUGCGAGCGUUGUCCGGAAUUAUUGGGCGUAAAGAGCUCGUAGGCGGUGUGUCGCGUCGGCCGUGAAAACCUGCAGCUUAACUGUGGGCUUGCGGUCGAUACGGGCAUCACUGGAGUUCGGCAGGGGAGACUGGAAUUCCUGGUGUAGCGGUGAAAUGCGCAGAUAUCAGGAGGAACACCGGUGGCGAAGGCGGGUCUCUGGGCCGAUACUGACGCUGAGGAGCGAAAGCGUGGGGAGGCGAACAGGA
rnacentral:rRNA from 1 species